rnacentral:tRNA from 1 species
GCGCCCGUAGCUCAGAUGGAUAGAGUAUUGGUUUCCGAAGCCAAGGGUCACAGGUUCGACUCCUGUCGGGCGCGCCA